ACGUUUUCCACUGGUUCAUAGGGUUUUAUACCCCUUUCUAUAAUCUAGUUUGCUUUAAAAACCCUCAACAGAGAAUAAAUAUUUUAAGAACUAUUUGUAUUUAGGGCUUGCUAUAAAAGUUCAAAAAAAUUGGAUAAAAGCUUAGAUUCAAAAUAUGUACUAAAACUAAUUCUCGGAUUAAACGUAGAUGGGCCAUACAACGCCAAUUGAGAUAUACUAUGACAAAAUAAUAAUUUAACUACUAGAAGUAUGAGUAAGGGCCAAAAACCGCGAAAUUGGUAACAUAAAGAAAUGAUUGUCCAUUUUACUUUUAUUUCACGUCGGCUAGUGAGCGGUAGUGAGUCCAGUGAUCUCCGUUUAAUUUUUCUUUUUCUGAGUUCGAGUAUUAUUAGAAUCACCAAGGGCGAACACACGGCUCCUGUGCGUUCUUAAUUCUAUUCAAAAGCGUCCAACGGGCGCUUUUUUUAUACGGGCAUAAAGCUCGUCAGUUUCCGCCAUCUUUUCGGCCACCGUGCCAGCUGUGCACUCUCGGUGUGGAUUUCCGCUAGGCCCGCCAGUUUCCUGGUAGCCAAACGGGGUGAGAGGAUUAUUACUGGCCUGCUUGCGUUCGUUCGCGGACGAUCUGGUAGAGUACCGGUCUCGCCGACACCCUCCCCCGCAACUUUAACUCGGCCUGAAGAAGCGACGAUUUCCCUGGCAACACCGACCGCCUCGAGGCAUCCGGGCCCGACCGCCCCUGGUGACGAGAACAGCUACACCGUCCCACAUCAGGUCAUCGCACACCAUCCGUGCACCCCCGGUUGACGAACCGAAUGUUGGUAGCAUAAAACCCUGCGCAGGUAUGUUUCGCCAUGGCCAAUAUACACUCACAACACAUACACUGAUACACACACGAAAGGAAGAUGAAUGAAUACAUGUAAAUGAAUCCAGCAUAAAUUACCUUUUUAUAUUCAUUUCAUACGCCAAGAUCCCUGUGGUAUCUCAGUCCGCCUGGGUGAUACUGUGUUGAGUUCGCUUUAGUUUUACGUUCACUUCAGGCACGUUUGUGAUCUGGCACAAUCUAC